rnacentral:rRNA from 1 species
GACAGAAGGGACGAGCGUUGUUCAUAUUUACUGGGCGUCAAGGGUAUGUAGGUGGUUUUUAGUGUUUUGUGCUAAAGUCUAUGGAUGCGCCCAUUAGUCGGCACUUUUUACAAUUUAAACUUGAGUUUGGUGAAGGUUUGGAGAACUCUCUGUGGAGUAUUAAAAUGCGAAAAUAUAGAGAUGACUGCCGAUGAUAAAGAUACCGUUCUUAGCUAAACUGACACUGAGGUACGGAAGUAUGGGUAUCGAACGGG